ACGCGUUAAGUCGACCGCAGGGGGAGUACGGCCGCAAGGUUAAAACUCAAAUGAAUUGACGGGGGCCCGCACAAGCGGUGGAGCAUGUGGUUUAAUUCGAUGCAACGCGAAGAACCUUACCUAUCUCUUGACAUCCAGAGAACUUUCCAGAGAUGGAUUGGUGCCUUCGGGAACUCUGAGACAGGUGCUGCAUGGCUGUCAUCAGCUCGUGUUGGGAAAUGUUGGGUUAAGUCCCGCAACGAGCGCAACCCUUAUCCUUUGUUGCCAGCGGUUCGGCCGGGAACUCAAAGGAGACUGCCAGUGAUAAACUGGAGGAAGGUGGGGAUGACGUCAAGUCAUCAUGGCCCUUACGAGUAGGGCUACACACGUGCUACAAUGGCGCAUACAAAGAGAAGCGACCUCGCGAGAGCAAGCGGACCUCAUAAAGUGCGUCGUAGUCCGGAUUGGAGUCUGCAACUCGACUCCAUGAAGUCGGAAUCGCUAGUAAUCGUAGAUCAGAAUGCUACGGUGAAUACGUUCCCGGGCCUUGUACACACCGCCCGUCACACCAUGGGAGUGGGUUGCAAAAGAAGUAGGUAGCUUAACCUUCGGGAGGGCGCUUACCACUUUGUGAUUCAUGACUGGGGUGAAGUCGUAACAAGGUAACCGUAGGGGAACCUGCGGCUGGAUCACCCCCCUAAGCUUGCACCCCGGGACACACCCUCCACACGGCUCCGCCCCGAUAAAACCCACCCUACAUGUAUUAAUUCC
rnacentral:rRNA from 1 species